rnacentral:lncRNA from 1 species
AUAUAUAGGGUCCGGCUACUAUACUAUUAUGAGUACGAUCGCCCUCAUACUCAUAAGUUGUUUUCGAUGAUAGAGCUUCCGAAUCGACGAUCCACACCGUUAAACAUUAUUUACAGCAUUUAAAACUUCUAGAAAUCAAAUUUUAUAAUUUUUCGACAUCAUUUACCUUANNNNNNNNNNNNNNNNNNNNNNNNNNNNNNNNNNNNNNNNNNNNNNNNNNNNNNNNNNNNNNNNNNNNNNNNNNNNNNNNNNNNNNNNNNNNNNNNNNNNNNNNNNNNNNNNNNNNNNNNNNNNNNNNNNNNNNNNNNNNNNNNNNNNNNNNNNNNNNNNNNNNNNNNNNNNNNNNNNNNNNNNNNNNNNNNNNNNNNNNNNNNNNNNNNNNNNNNNNNNNNNNNNNNNNNNNNNNNNNNNNNNNNNNNNNNNNNNNNNNNNNNNNNNNNNNNNNNNNNNNNNNNNNNNNNNNNNNNNNNNNNNNNNNNNNNNNNNNNNNNNNNNNNNNNNNNNNNNNNNNNNNNNNNNNNNNNNNNNNNNNNNNNNNNNNNNNNNNNNNNNNNNNNNNNNNNNNNNNNNNNNNNNNNNNNNNNNNNNNNNNNNNNNNNNNNNNNNNNNNNNNNUUAUUAUUAUUAUUAUUAUUAUUAUUAUUAUUUGUAAAUUAAAUAUAUUAAAAUUAUAUUAUAUAAUAAAUUGAUAUAAGUAUAUAAUAUAAUAUAUAUCAUAGUAUGUAUAUAAUACUAUAUGUAUUGUAUAAUAAAAAUAUAAAAUAUAUAUAGAACUAGGCGAGAAUACUAUCAAUAGUACCAAGCUAUUGGUGGUAUUGAUUUUUUAGCCCUUAGAUUGAGAAAUGGGUGGUUAGGUUGAUGUGGGCCUCCUAGGGUUGAGUGAGUGGUUGGUUGAAUAGUAUAAUCUAACGGAUAAAAAUAAUCAGAGGGUUAAAUCUAACGGUGGAAAACUCGAUAGCACCAAAUCCUUGGUACUAUCGAUAAUACCCCAGUCGACCCCUAUAUUAUUCACCCAAAAAAAUGGGAUAGUAAUUUUUGUAUGCUCGUAUAGUGGUCUCUCACACCCUCGCACGCUCGGUCAAAAAGAAAAAAAAAAAAAAAAACUACGACAGAAAACGCUCGCCUCUCCCCAAAAAGAAAACACUUCUCACUCAAAGUAUGCCCUAGCCCCCCUCUGUCACGUCCCGGAUUACUCGUUUCCCCUGCACGCCAACAGACCCGCCGUAUACAAAAGAAUUUCCUCUGUAUAUGAAGCGAUAGCUGUAAUUGUACAUGUAAUCAUACAAAACUACAACUAGGAGUAUAAAGCUACUAAUAGAACUGUAAACAAAUAUAAAUAACCAUCAGGUUCACUACACAUACAUAGUCUCCAGGAUACAUACAUGACUCGCUCCAGUGAGUAUCUAACAUCAAUAUGUACAUGAACAAAAAAUCAAAACUAUCUGUAGCUGGUACUCCUCUAGAACAGCAACAAGGCUGGAAGGGAUCUAGCUCGCAACUCUCUUUCCACGAUCAGUAGCUGUGACAGUAGCAGCCGCAUAAGAAGGCUCUGCAAAAAGGGGGUCAACAACUAGGUGUGAGAACUAUUGCAAAAAGUAGUCCUCAGUGGGUGCCACUACCGACCUCAACAGCUCACCCACUAAGUCUACAGAAAGUAUCCUCACUGAUAGUAAAGGAAGCUGGAAAACUCUACAGCUACAUGUCCCUAUACUAUCGCUAACCAACAUUAGCUAUUUGUAGAUAUAAGCAAUAUGCAAUCUCUGACCCAAUCUCACUAAGGACUUUGAACACAUCCGUCCCGCCUGUCGAAACUACACCAACCACCACCACGCUAGAUUGUUGGUGGAGAGCAAGUCCAACCAGGACACUACGACAUAUACUCAAACGCACAAAGCCCGACUUCGGAGUUGCACUCGUAGGCGCUACCUAACCGAGUAUGCAAGCGUGUCUCUGCCGAGCUCAAUCAGGCUCUCACAGGCUAUAGUCAAAGCAAGUAGGUCUAACUGGUCUAACAAUCAAAACUCACGUGCCCUUGGCACAAUCCGAUGCAAAAACAGCAAACUGGGUCCACCGUCAACUGCGACGGCACCCGACAGUACAGAACAGUCUAUACACUACUGUAAAAUAAACUCGGCAUCUGAGCACGAGCGUAAACUCAUCCUACACUAAUCUGGAUAUCCACCGCAUACAAAUUGUGGCGAUACAAACAAACUAUAACUCCUAAAGCUAAAUUUGGUAGUUUUCAGAAAAUGAUAGUGUAGGUUCUAUAGUUUUCUCCUAAGUCAAUUCCAAGUCCAAUAUGUAAAAAUAAAUACUAGCUUAACUCCAAAUUCAGAUUUUAUAAUCUAAUCCAUAAAUUCGAGUACUAGCAAGAAAAUAGACCAAUAAUAUAUGUCGACAAAUGCUAAAACUUAAAAGAUAUUCCAACGAUUUCGGUAAACUUCAACCCACCUCGAAAACGCUAAUCCAACAACGGCGAGAAGUCGAAAGGAGGAAAAACACGUGCUCGCUAGGCCUCCAACGGCGCAACCGCGACGUCCACGCACUCGAACGGCUCCCCGACGCAACGUCGACGUCGAUCCGAGCUCAAUCCAUAGCCUUCACCAAGCAUACCAUUAAACUAGAGAGAGAGAGGGAAAGGAUAAUUAACUUCACUCCCUGCCUCUCCACACCUUUAUGAAGCGGUGGGGAUAAGGAUGCUCCAACCAAUGCAACAAAUGACCAAAAGCCCCUCACCUACCCAAAAUCCCAGGGAUACUACACCCUCCCCACCCCCCGGCUAGCCGCUCGCAAGGGGAAGCCCUCGUGGAGCCACGCGACGCUCGCCAUCGGCACUUCGGCCGCUUGUGAUCGGAAGUCCUUGUGGAGCCACGUGCCGCUCGCCAUCGAAACUUCGGCAAGUGAGUUUUAUUCGAGUCCAAUAGAUCUAAGCCUUUUCAUUUUGAGAUUACCACACUGGUUUAAUUUACGGAGAUAUUGAUAGUGAACUUGUCUUUAUGUAUUUUACUUAUGGCACAUUUCCUUUCCAAUUGUCAAAAGAAAGAAUAGGUAAGAAUGUUGAUAUUCUUAGGGCUACUAAAAAGAGAAGGGGACAUGCUCAUCUUUGAAAUGAAGUGUCUUCAUAUCGAAGCAUAUUAGUUUUCCAAGUAUCUUUAAGAUAUGUUAUUGGGAGAAUAUUGUCCACCCCAUAGUCUAUUGAAACAAGUCAAUUGCUUAGAUGCUCCUUCAUUGUGAUAUUACUUUUCAUUUACUUAGUCUGCUUAACUUUGUAGCUCUUUAUAUUUAUAUUCUUAAGAAUUAUGAAUAUUUAUGCUAAUAACAUAAAUCUAGAAAAAAGUCUAAUUUAAUAGCCAAAUUUUUUAUUCCGAAUUAAUAAUUGGUGAACGAUUAAUUUCUGUAUAAAUUGUGUAUCCGAAUAAUUGGCGAAUCCAUUUUUUAAGCCGUAUUUUGAACGAAUUUAAAAAUUGGGAUACGAAUUUUAUUCGUAUUAUACCUGUAACGAAUUUUUGCUGAAUUCGAAUUAACUAACUACAAUGUGAACGCGCCGCUUCCAGAAAUGAUACGCCCGAUGUGCUUUUUCAUUCUUCUACGUCGCCGACCCAAUCGUUAUCGGUGAAUCCAAUGAGUUCAGAUUUGCCACUGUAAGUAUAAGAAAUAUCGUAGUUGACCGUUUUUUUUAUAUAGCGCAAAAUAUGCUUAGUUGAUUGUAGAUUCAUCUGAUUCGGCUUUUCCAUGUAUCUGCCGAUCAACCGAACACCAUAGGAUAUGUUGGGUCUAGUUGCUGUUAAGUAGCGCAGGCUUCCCGCUAACUGUUUGAAACAUGUAGGAUUAACAGGCUUCUAUCUCCUUUCUUAUUAAGCUUUAAUCCGAUCUCUACUUGGGGGAACGACCAGAUUACAAUCCGUCAUCUGAAACUUUUGAAGUAUUUUUUCUACAUAUUUCUUUUAAGAAAUAAAAAUACCUUCAUAUCUUUGUGAAACUUCGAUGCCUAAAUAAUAAGCUAUAUGGCCCAUAUCGAUCAUCUCAAACUCAUUAAUCAUACUCUUUUUUAAUUAUUCAAUCAUAAUUGAAUUAUUUUUCGUAAAAAUACGAUCACCAACAUAGAAGAAACAAAUAAAACAUCAGCAUUAAAAUUAUUUUUAAUAUAAAAAGCUUGUUCACAUGGGCACUUACGAAAUUCGGCUUUUUUAAAGUAUAGAUCUAUACGUGUGUACCAUGCUCGCGACGCUUGCUUCAAGCCGUACAAUGCCUUUUUUUAAUUUGUAAACUUAAUUUGUCUUCUUCAUCAUUUUGUAUAUAUCCUGGUGGUUGCUCUAUAUAUACUUCAUUGAGAAAGCCGUUGAAGAAUGUGGAUUUGACAUCCAUCUGAUGGAUCUUCCAGUGUUUUUGCAUCGCAAAAGCAAUUAGAAGCCGCACCAACUCCAAUCUAGCAAGGGGAGCAAACACCUCGUGAAAAUCGACACCAGGCUUCUAUUUGUAGCCCUUUACAACGAGUCUAGCUUUGUGGCGAUCGGUUGACCCGUCUUGCUUGUAUUUGGUUUUGUCGACCCGCUUUAUGCCAAUUGCUUUUUGGCCUUCUGGAAGUUUUGUGAAUUCUCAAGUUUUGUGAACUCUUAAUCGCCUUGAUUUCAUCGCACAUGGCUUUACGCCACUUUUCUUCUUUAGCUGAUUCAUCAAACAUGAGAAGACAAUCUAAAAACAUGAUUUAAUAGGUUAAAUCACUAUUAUCAUCGUUGUCAGUAUCGUGAAGAAUAUAAUCUUUUAAUUUUACGGGCAUUGUAAUAUUUUGUUGAGGAUUUUUUCGAACACCUUCCUUCAAAGAAGAAGGCGAAGAACCUGAUAACGACGAGGGAGGUGAUGGUAGUGCAAUCGGAGGAUCCGAUGCAUGCUGUUCUUGAUUCUCCGAAUUAUCUUUAAAUUAAAUGCUAAUACCAUUAUUCAACUUUCUUUUCCUUUCCAAUCACAUGAUUUAGUUUAUCAAAUUUCACAUCUUUACUGAUUAUGAAUUUUUCUGCGAUUGAAUUAUAUAAUUUAUAAACUUUCACAUUUUCUGCAUAUAGAUAAAAACAUGCCUAACUGCUUUGUCAUCCAAUUUUUUUCUUGUUUGCUUUGGAAUGUAUGCAUAUGCCAUGCAUCCAAAAAUACGUAGAUGCACUAAUAAUAGGUUUUCUUCCAUUCCAUACUUCUUUAGGUAUUUUAUUCGCCACGUUACUUUUCGGACACCUGUUUAAAAUAUAAACUGCACAUGAAACAACUUCACCCCAAAAGUUUUUCCAUAUACCUCUCUUAAUAAGCAUGCUUCUUAUUAUUUUUACAAUUGUGUGAUUUUUUCUUUUUGUCACGCCAUUAUGUUGCCAUGAACAGGCCACGUUACUUUGAUGCUCAGUUCCAUGUACCCUGCAAAACUCGUUAAAUUUUAUAAAAAAAAUAUUAUCCUUGACCAUCAAACCGUAGAACUUUCAAAUAAUUCUCGUUUUGUUUUUCAAAAAGUGCUUUAAACUAUUGGAAUGCAGUAAAAGUUUCUAAUUUUUCUAUCAGAAAAUAAACCAAAAAUUUUCUGCUAAAGUCAUCAAUCAAAAUUAUAAAAUAUUUAUUAUUUCUGAUGAAGCAUCUAUUCAUCUCACGUAAAACCAUACAAACCAAUUGUAGAGGUUUUGUUGCUCUACAUGAUUUUUCUUCUGAAAACGGAUCUCUAUAUUGUUUUUUCAAAAUGCAACCUUUACAAAUUUGGUUUAGAUAAUUUAUAUAAGGUAACCCCUCCACUAUAUUUUUACUAGUAAAUGUUUUCAAAAAUAAAAAAUUUAAAUGACCAAACUGUAAAAAUGCCAUAUCCAAUAUUUGUCAUGCACAAUUGUAUUGAAACAUAAUGAAGUGUCAUUAUCCAUUUUUAAAGAAAACAUGCCAUAUCUAGUCAUUGGCUCUUUAACAAUUAAUCUAUUAUUUUUAUCAUUCAAUUCACAAAUUUUCUUUUCAAUAUACAACAAUAUGACAUUUUUCUUAAAUUGGCCAGUUCUUAAUAAAUUACAUCCUAAUCGAGGCACAUAAUAAACAUUAAAUAUUAUAAUAUGAUCACAAUUACGUGUGUUGGGGUAAAAAAAAUUUAAUAGAAGAAUAAUAAUAAUAAAGGUGAAAGAUUAUGGUUGGCACUUAAUAUUGAUUUUGGCUUAUCUAAUUUCUUGAGCUCUAUCUGAGAUAAAUUAUGGUCUAUAUAUUUUUAAUAGGCCCCACAUGUGAAUAAAAGAUUGUGAGCCUCAUGAAAGUCCAAUAAAUUUUGAGUCUAUCUGAUAGUUGGGGUCUCAUUUUAGCCCAAUGAAUAUUACUAUUUGUACCGAAUAAGCUCUAUCAAAGUGGGCCCAAUUGAUUGUACUCAGCCCAACCCAUUGUAUAUAGCCCACAUCCACAUCUCAAAUUCAAUUUUGAAUUUUAAAAUAUUAUGUUCAAAUUUAAUUUUGAAUUUUUAAAAUUUUCAACCAACUAGAAAGUAUCUUUUCUCCUAACAACCUCAAAAAUAUUUUUUUUUCAUUCAAAAUGUGAUUUCAAAUUUCGAAUCCCCAAUCAACUAGAAAAUAUAUCUCCUCUCAAUAACAUCAUUAAAAAUUUGAUUUUGAAUUUUGAAUCUCUAACCCACUUUCCAAAUAUCUCUCAACCCACUAAUACUUAUCCCUCAACUAACCACAUCCAACCCUACAAAUUUCUCGACGUUUUCUUAAAUCUCUCCCAUUUUAUUAUAAAUAGAGGACAAAAAAAGAUAAAAGAAGUAUACACAAGAUAUAGGUACGAUACUACCAUAACUAUACGUCCUUCUACGUACAAAAAAAAAAAAUCCAAAGAAGAAAGGAAAGAUCUUCCUACUGGGUGUGCCAUUUUGUCUGCCACCACGAAUGACACAUCUCGCACGGUUGAUCUUUUUCUGGAUUUUUCACGUGACAGUAUUCAUAAUUCAUAUUAGUAUUUAUAUGUAUAUGUGGGUAUCAAAUAUUGCGGAUCUAUGAUUUCAAAAGAAACAAGCAUCUACUAUUAAUUACCCCUGUGGCUUGAGGCAUUUUCGAUCAAGAGACCUUCAUAAGAAUGAUGGAACGAAUCAUAUCUUAAUGAUUGACCAAAUCCUAGGUGUAUGUACUAGGAUUCAGUUGGAUUUAAAGGUUGAUUCAUAGUUCAUGAGAUUUGGGUAUGAAAUUUGGUUCAUGAGAUUUGGUAUGUGGUUUGGUUCAUGGAAUUGGUGUAUGGUUCAUAAGAUUGGGGAAUAGCUCGGUUCAUGGGGUCAUGAUAACAAAACCCAUUUUCGGUUCAUAGUAAAAGCUCAUUUUGAUUCAUAACAAAACCCAUGUUUGAAGUAGAGUUUGGGUUUUAGGUAUUUGGAUGAUAUGGCUUUAAUAGCUUUGGACCUGAUGCUCUUGGGCCUUCCUAGCUUUAUGGCCUAGUUUUAUUUAUGGACUACAAUGGGUUGGAUUAAAUUGAGUUAGGCUUUUAUUGUGGACUAAAUGUAGGUUACAUUUUUAUUGUGAACUAGAAUGAGUUUGGAUUUAGAUGGAUUUGGAUUUUUAGUGUGAACUUGAUUGGAUUUGGAUUUUUAUUGUGGACUUAAUUGGAUUUGGAUUUUUAUGGUGGACUUGAUUGGGUUUGGAUUUAUAUUGUGGACUAGAAUGAGUUUGGAUUUUUAUGGUAGACUAAAUUGGGUUUGAAUUUUUUUUGUGGACUAGAAUGAGUUUGGAUUUUUAUGGGGGCCUGGAUUAGGUUUGGAUUUAGAAUGGGCUUUGGUUUUUAUAUUGUGGACUUGAUUAGAUUUGGAUUUAGAAUGGGCUUGGUGUUUUUUUAUUAUCGACUUGAUUGGAUUUGGGUUUAGAAUGGGCUUAGGUUUCUUUUAUUGUCGACUUGAUUGGAUUUUGAAUUUUUAUGGUAGACUCGAUUGGUUUUGAUUUUUAGGAUGGACUCGAUUAAGUUUGGAUUUAGAAUUGGCUUCAUCUUCAUAUGGACUGGAUACCGGGUCUGUAGGUGGACUGGAUUUUAUUUUUAUAUGGACCGGAUUCGUGGCCCGUAUGUGGACCUAGUCCACACAUAUACACAAGCAUGAGCCGUGCCGGGCCGAACGGGUCGUGGCUCACGUGGUUCAAGCUACUUGAUUCACUUAAACUUUUUCUUUUCUUUUAUUUUUUUCUUGGUAUUUCUUAUUUUAAUCAUUACCUUACCCCGAUAAGGUCUCUUAGUCAAAUCUUACCCUACCUUGGUAAGGUACCGUAUCUUGCAACUUGGUACAGUCCAAUGGAUUAUCCGAGAGAAAGCUGUUGGACCCUACCAUUGGGCUCCUAUCUGUAUAUAGAAGAGGAGAGGAUGCAUACACUUGGAGUAUUAAGAAGUUAUCUGAAAUAUGCAAAGUGCUUCUUCUUCCUCUUUGUUACAAUGAGCUUUACCUUUCUUCUUUAUAUUUCGCUGGAUCUCUGAAAGUUUAUUAGGUUCAUAUUGUACCACUUUAAAGACGUGCCGAUAGGGCGAACAGUGGUUGUUUUAUUGCUAGAAGUGAUUGCCGGAGCCUCGCACAUGGAGGGGCAAUCUCGCUUUUAAGAUAAUGCUUAGCACAUCUCGACUCACAAGCCUUAUCUGAUUUUCACUGCCUUAUAAUAUUUAGUUCUUAAUCUUUGUAUGUGUUUUAAAAUACUUAUUUAAACUCUGCAUUUCAAAAUAUUUUUUAAAAAGAUAUAAAAAUUUUACUUAAAAUUAGAGAGAAUUUUUUCAAGUAAUACAUCAAAUUAUAUAAGGUAAAUAUUGAGACAGCAUCAGAUAGAAUCGACAACAUAUGAUUUGAUCAUAAAUUGAUUUAUUUCUUUAACAUAACCAAGUGCAGGCAAUUAUUUAUUUUUGAUAAAAUUAAACAGCUUUGAAAGUUCAGAUUCUUAAAUGCCGAAAUUAAAAAUUCACCAAUUAAUUUCAAACUUAACUAGAAGUACACGCACCCAAAGUGCUUCUUCAGUAUCCUUCCAUCUGAACAGCCACACACACAAACAAUUUCUUUCAAUGAUAUUUCAGUAUCUUUGAAACUAGAAAGAACAACGUGUAAGAAAUUAAAAUAGAUUAUUAGCAUAUCAAAGAGUUCGUAAAACAAGACGAGAUCAGAUUUUAAUAAUUAUAUUAAAUUCCGCAGCGAAAAAAAUAUUUAAAAAUCUAUGUGAUUUUUACGAUUUGAUUUGACUCUUAAUUUUUUCCAACACUUGGGAACAGUAAGAUUUAUUCACUUGUCACAUUAAUUUCGACAGACAAUUAGAGAAGGGAGACAAUGAAAGAAAGAAAGAAGAUCAAGACAAUGAUGCCAAAAACAGUGACAAUGCAGAUAAAGCGGAGGAUGAUGUGGAGUGGAAGUGAGAAACGUACGAGCAAUGAAACUCAGACCACGGCCAAAUGGACACACAAAUGCAUAUACACUUGGAAUUAAACUUGACACGCAUAGCCACAUCGAACCAAUCCUCUUCUUACUCAUGGCUUUGGAUUCUGGUGCAGCGCGGAGUAGGUAGUGUACCCCGACGCCCGGCUCCGAUCGCGGGCCCCGUCCGCCACCGGCAUUGCCUCCGCCGCCGCCGCCGCCGCCCCCUUGGAAUUGAGCUGAUCCGCACCCUCGGGCCACGGGGAUUGGCACGGUAUAUACGUGUUCAGCGGACAGUACUUUUUCUGCCAUAGGAACCACUUGCACUCCUCCGGCGACCUCUGGUCCAGAACUCCCGGAAUGCAAUUCUUGCGCACGUCCAGCACCCCUUUCUUUAACAAAAUCCAGCAGCUGUGCCCCAACGACGUGAAGUAGUUGUCAGACAGCGAUAAGUUCAUCAGGUUGCCAGCCCCGGGGAUCCCCAGCCUGCACAGCACGUCCGGCACCUCGCCGUAGAGCUUGUUGUCCGCCAGGUUGAGCUGCUCGAUCUUCUUUAAGCACCCAAAGGACAGCGGGAUCGGGCCGGUCAGCAGGUUCGUCCCGGCGUCGAACACGGUCGCCUUUUUCAGGAGGCCAAUCUCGAAGGGGAGGCAGCCGGAGAGCUGGUUGUUCAGGAAGAGCACUUCGAGGAGCGUGUUGGCCGCAUGGACGAUUGAGCUCGGGAUCGGCCCGGUGAACUUGUUGUUGGCGAGGGUGAGGUACUGCGCCGGGGUGAAGCCCAGUUCCGCGGGGAGCUGCCCCGUGAAGUUGUUGUUGUUCAGGAAGAGGACCUGCGCGUUGCUCAUCACAAAAUAUUUAAACUUCCUUAUCUGCUAGUUUAACAUUUCGUAAACAAAACAAAUUAACAAUUCCUUCGCAUACUACCAAAUUAAACAGGCGGCGUAGAUAUGCAGAAGCAUCAGAUAUAAGAUAGGUUAAUUCCAUACAAAUUAAGUCCAUGUAAAAGUUUGAAAUACUAAAUAUAUUCCUACGAAAUUUAAUUUUUAGAUUUAUCUCUUCAAAAUUUUCUACUUUGCAGAUAUAUUUCUCUUCAAAAACGCUGGUUCUUCAUAAAUAUUUUUGCCGUUUGAUUCACUAUUAGUCUUUUAACUGUAGAUAUAUAAUAUGACUAUUUUGUCCUUAUAAAUUUAUUUCUAUAAAAAGUUAUCUUUUUCUCUCUCUUUUCGCAUUCGCCGCAACACGUGCGGCGUAUCUCAUUUUUGCCGCGAUCGAGGAUUUCUCUUUCUACAUCGCCAUCACAGUAGAUCUCAUCGCCGUCAUGGAUAAAGAAGAGAAGAUGAAAAAAAAAUGAUGGGACUCAACAUUGAAAUACAUAUUAUAUAUAUAUAAAGUAAAAAAAUCAUUUGACUUUCUUAACUAAGUGUGGUUAAUUUUGUUAACUUAUAGUUAUCUAAUUUUUUGUUAAUAGAAAAAUAUAUUUACAAACGAAAAAAAAUUUUUGAAAAAAAAAAGUUAAUAAUAAAAAUUUUAUAGAAAUAUAUAUUUAUUAUUUGAUAGUUCUGUAAGGAAGCGUAUGCGGUUAUCCCUAUGAGAUAAAACUGUACGGAGACCACUCAAUACAGGUCAUUCCGGAAUGGCCAAUCUGACUCUUUUGCUGCUUUCCUUGUUUUGUAUUUGACGCCACCCUCUUUUUUUUUGUUUUUUUUUUUUUUUCCUUUUUUUUGGAUUGAAAUAGCCAACUGAUUUUUUUUUUCUUUUUCUCUUUUUACUUUCGGAUUGGCCCCGGAUUCUGCGGCAUAGAAUGUCCUACAUUUGGGUGGGCCACCAUACAUUUUUAAUUUUUAAAUAGAGUAGCAAAAUGCUUUUUUUUUUUUUUUUUUUUUCAAAAGUAAGAUAUAGAUGUUACGCCUUGUCUAUUUAAAAAUUUAAAUAAUUAAUAUUAAAAAAAUAAUAAAAUUAACAUGAAAAAUAUAUUUUAAUAAAUAUACAGAUAGUAUUGCCCAAUAAAAAUUAUAUUUAAUUUGCACCCGCAGAGAAAUCGAUUUGCCUCCGCACCUGUAACAUGCUGAGCUUGAAGACCUGCGCGGGGACUGGGCCGACGUAGCCGUUGAAGCGGAUGUCGAGGAAGGUGGCGUUGUUGAGGGAGAGGACGUCGGCGGGGAAAUUGCCGGUGAGCUUGUUGUUGCUCAAGUCGAGCUCGUAGAUGUACUGCAGGCCUCUGAGGUUGGGCACCGUGCCCGAGAAGUUGUUGGAGUUGGCGUGGAAGAGCGCGAGGUCGGUCAACUGGUCGACGAAUCCGCAGACGGUGGGGGCGGCCAGCCGGUAUCCGUUGAAGUCGACGGAGGCGACCGUCGGCGUGUUUACCAAUCCCGGCGGCGUGGUGCAGUAGAAUCCGACGUAGGAAUUCUUCCCGCAGAUGUCGGUGCCCGACCACGUGUCGGUGAUGCCCUGCGGGUCGCAGGUGAUCGUGCUCUUGAAUCGCUGGAUUACGAGGUAGGCGUUGUACAGCCGGUCGUUCUGGAAGCAUUCCCGCGUUAUGUCCCCGUUGGAACAGCCGGAUCCGGUGCCGAUUCCGAUUCCGAUCCCGAUUCCGAUUUCAAUCGCCUUGCGGCUACGCGUGACGUUGAAGUCACGGCCGAAGCUGAAGUUCAGAAGCGUCGCCAGAAGAAGAAGCAGACGCAGGAGGCGGGAAGCCAUCAGCGUUGUUGGAAAAUGAUAGACCGUGAUCAAUUGAGCAGCCGGUUGCAUAGAAAGCAAUGGGGGUUGAGCUACUGAUUCGGACUGAGAUAUAAGUAGCACUGUAGCUCUAAAAUCCUCCCGUGCAGGGACAAAUAUGGAAGGAGACGCCGUUUACAGGGUGGUUGGAUGGCGUCAUCGAUCGCCACUUUUUCUUUCUGUGUAUCCGUACUUGUCUUAUUGAUCUGACGAGAGAUGCGAAAGAGAAAAAGAAUUGCGAGUUUUAAAGAUUAGUUUUAGCCGUUGAUGAGCUGUAUCGGAGGGCGGAGGAUGAAGCCGAGCCAUCUCAGUUAGGCCGAUAGUUUGACUCGCUACUUUUUAGUGUAGACAGAUCACGUGCCGCGUUUUGCUCGUUUGGAAGCUCAGUGUGUCUCUGUUUUUUUUUUUUUUUUUUUUUUUUUUUUUUUUUUUUUUUUUUUUUUUUUUUUUUUUUAUCUUUUGAAAUAAAAUAGAAAAGGGGAACGCGCGUAGGACCCGGCGUCUGCAAUUACUCUCUGCGAAAUCAGAAGAGUACGAGGAGUAGUACUCCUGCUUCGUAAAUUCGCGAAUAAUACGCGUAUUACUUAUAAAUUUUUGAAUAGCCGAAUUAAAUGACAGCAAAUAUAUUUUUUUCAAAAAUAAAAAAAAAAAUGUAUUUUUUUCUCUAAAAAUAAUUAUCCGCGAAUUAUUCACGAUUCGCGAAUAAUUCGCCCAAAAAAUCGGCCCGCGAGUCGGCGACGCUUGUCGUCGUCGUCCUCCUCCAUCGCCGCCCUGGCCGGCGCUGGGAGCAAGAGGGCCGCGGUUACGGUUCCCAUAAUCCCAUCUCGCCCGACGCCGUCUGCGACUCCGCGUGCCAUUGCGCGCGGCUUCGCAGGCAAAGGAAUGCGCGGUCCACGAGGCCGGAUGCCUUCUCAUUUUAUAUAUAUAUAUAUAUAUNUCCACGAGGCUGUUUAUAUAUAUAUAAUUUUAUUUAUUAAUAUUUUUAAAUGAUAUUAUUAAUAUAUAUUUAUUAUAAUUUUAAAUAUAUUUAAUUUAUAUAUAAAAAUUAUAAUAAUAAUAUAUAAUAUAUUAAUUAUUAUAUAUUUAUUAUAUAGUCGAAUUUUUGAUUCCGAAUUUUUAAUUGAUAAACGUAUAAUAUCCGUAUAAAUCACGUAUCCGAAUAAUUACCGAAUCCGUUUUUUAGCCGUAUUAACGAAUUUAAAAAUGAAUUUAAAAAUUAGAAGACGAAUUUAUCUGAAUUAUAUCUGUACCGAAUUUUUGCCGAAUCCGAAUUAACUAACUAUGCUACCAACACUAUGCAUAAUUUUGUACAUUUUAAUCAUUUUAUUUAUAAAUAGUUUAUGGCCAAUUUGCAUAAAAAAUUCACUUAUUUUGGGCUUUUGCAAAACUAGACCACCUUUUUCGUUUUUGCAUAUUCGGUCCACUUUUUCAGCAAACUGACCAAAAUACCCUUAUACUUUUUUCUCUCUCCUCUUUUUUUUCUCGUUCUUUUUUUCUUUCUCUUCCCAGAGAGCGGCGGAGACAGAUGCGAAGGCGGAGGUUGAGGCGAAGGCAGCCUGCUUCGGUUUUGUCCAACGUAUCCUUACCCUCGCCCGCACACCCCCCGCUUUCCUCGCCUCUGAUACCGCCGAGGCCACGCUGCGACUUUUUUUUUUCCCCUCUCCGACCCUCCCCCACCGUCUCUGACGACGACGACUAUCUCACACUCUCUCGCCUUUCUCACCUUUUCCCUCUCCCUCCUCCUUCACCUCUUCCGCCGUCUCCGACGACGACACUUCUCCGCCGACAUCGGCGCCACAGAGGAUUUUUUUUUCCUCUCCGACGACGACGCCUCUCUCGCCCUUCCUCGUCCUUCUCGUCCUCUCCCUCUCCCUCCUCCUCUGCCGCCUCCGACGACGACGCAUCUUCGCCGAUAUCGACACUGUGGAGGUCACUGCGGCACUGCAGCCUCGGAGCGGGGGGUUCUUAGCGGCGUCGUGGCUGUUGGCAGAGAGGGGUGACCCAAAAAAACUAUAGAAGAAGCAAGAAUAAAAAAUAAAGAUAAAAAAUUAUAGAAAAAGAAGGAUGAAGAUGAAAUUGUAUCGUUAACUACAAAAAAAAAUUAUAAGUUACACUAUUUAAGAUGUAAACUGAAGCUUUAAAAUAUAAAUUACACUUUUUAAAUAAAAAUUACACUUUUGGGAGAUAUUUACACUGUUUCUCCUUUUAUUGCAUUCUUUCAUAUGUAAACUGCAUCCAUUAAGAUGAAAAUUACACUCUUUAAACGAAAGUUACACUCUUUGAGAGAUAUUUACAAUGUUUCUUCUCUUCUUGCACUCUUUGAGAUGUAAACUGUAUCCUUUUAAGAGAUAUUUAUACUGUUUCUCCUCUUGUUGUACUGUUUUUUCUCUUGUUGCACUAUUUCUUCUCUUGUUACACUGUUUCUCCUCUUAAAUGGUGCAGUUUAAGAUAAAAAUAGUGUAACAAGAGGAGAAAUAGUGCAACAAGAGGAGAAACAGUGCAACAAGAGGAGAAACAAUAUAAAUAUAUUUUGAAGAGGUGCAGUUUACAUCUCAAAGUGUGCAAGAAGCGGAGAAACAGUAUAAAUAUCUCUCAAAGAGGGCAACUUUCAUUUAAAGAGUAUAACUUUCAUCUUAAUGAAUACAGUUUAUAUCUGAAAGAGUGCUAUAAGAGAAAAAAUAGUGUAAAUAUCUCCCAAAGAGUGUAAUUUUUAUCUUAAAGCUGCAGUUUACAUAUUAAGUAGUGCAACUUAUAAUUUUUUUUGCAGUUAACAACGCAAUUUCAUCUUCAUCCUUUUUUUUUCUAUAAUUUGUUAUCUUUAUUUUUUUUCUUGCUUUUUCUAUAAUUUUUUUUGUCAGCCCUCUCUGCCAACGGCUACGGCGCCGGUGACGACGCCGCUAAGGACCCCCCGCUCUUAGGCUGCAGCGUCACAGUGACCUCCACGGUGUCGGCAUUGGUGUCGGCGUCGGCGCCGACGAAAAUGUGUCGUUGUCGGAGGUGGCAGAGGAUGAAGGUGAGGGAGAGGACGAGAAGGACGGGGAAGGACGAGAGAGGUGUCACCGUCGGAGACGGUGGAGGAGAGUCGAAGAGGAAAAAAAAAAAGAGUCGCAGCGCGGCCUCGGCGAGGUCGGAGGCGACGAAGGUGGGGGGUGUGCGGGUAGGCCGCCUCCGCUCUGUCUCUGCCGCUCUCUGAGAAGAGAAGGAAAAAAAAGAACGAGAGAAAAAAAAAAAAGAGGAGAGAGAAAAAGGUAUAAGGAUAUUUUGGUUAGUUUGCUGAAAAAGCGGACCGAAUCUGCAAAAACGAAAAAGAUAGCCCGGUUUUGGAAAAGCACAAAAUAAGAGAAUUUUUUCUCUCCUCUUUUUUUUUUUUUCUCGCGUUCAUUUUUUUUUCUCUCUACGAAAAAGGCAGCCGAGGCAGAGGUAGAAGCGGAGAUGAAAAUGGCCCGCCUCGCCUCUCAUCUUUAUGUCCUCGCCCUUGCUCGCGCACCCCCCCCCUUUCUCGCCUCCGAUCACGUCGAGGUCGCGUCGUGACUCUUUUUUUUUUUUUUUCCCUCUUCGACCUUCCUCCACUGUCUCCGACAACGACACCUCUUGCGCCCUCUCUCGCCCUUCCCCCCUUCUCGCCCUCUCCCUCUCCUUUCUUCUUUGAUGCCUCUGACGACGACGCCUCUCCGUCGGCGCCGACGCCGCGGAGGCCGCUGCGGCACUGCAACCUCGAAGCGGGGUUUCCUUAGCGGCGUCGUCGUCUGCGCCGUGGUCGUAAGCGAAGAGGCGUGACCCAAAAAAAAUUAUAGAAAAAAGAAGAAGAAAAAAAUAAAGACAAAAAAUUAUAGAAAAAGGAAGAAAAUGAUGAAAUUACACUGUUAAAAUAAAAUUAUGUUGUUUAAAAAUUUUUUACACUAUUUUUAAUAAAGGUUACACUAUUUGAGGCAGAAAUUACACUCUUUAGAAUCAAAUUUAUACUUUUUAGGAUAAAAUUAUACUUGUUAGGUGAAAUUUAUAUCGUUUCUCUUUUCUUCUUCUUCCUCCUCCUCCUUCCCCUUAUCCUCAUUCUCAUCCUCAUCCUCCUCCACUCCCAGAGAAGAGGGUAGGAGAGGCAGUAACGGCGCAGGAGCGAGCGCACGUAUGUCGUUGGCGACCUAUAUAUUACGGACACUUCUAUAAGUCUCGCGUGUUCAUGUUGGACACAUGCGUAUCCGUGUCGGACACGUGUCCAAUGUGGACACUUCUUGGACGAGCAUAUAAUGCCGAUCCAUAGCACAUAUAACUAAUAUAUAUAUAUAUAUAUUUUUAUUUUACUUUUUCUAUGCAUAUAUAUGUAAGAUGAUAAAUAUUUUAGCUUUUUGAUAAAUGCAUAUAUUUUUUUGACAAUAUAAAUAAAUUAUGUAUGGUGGAGAAUUUUUUUCUUAAAAUAUAUGAACAAUCAAUAAAAAAUUUACUAAAUUUCACUCGUACGGAAAAUAUAACAAUAUUUUAUCAAAAUUAAUAUUUUAUAUAUAAUAAAUAUAUAUUAUUAUAUUAAUAAUACUGUAUUUUAUUNUUUUUUUUGACAAUAUAAAUAAAUUAUGUAUGGUGGAGAAUUUUUUUCUUAAAAUAUAUGAACUAUCAAUAAAAAUUUUACUAACUUUCACUUGUAUAAGAAAUAUAAUAAUAUUUUAUAAAAAUUAAUAUUUUAUAUAUAAUAAAAUAUAUUAUUAUAGUAAUAAUAUUAUAUUUUUUUAGUGGUGUCUAUGUCGUAUCCGUGUUCUAAUUUUUUGAAAGUUGUCGAGUCGCGGUGUUCGAGUCGUGUCGUAUUGUGUCUCGUAUCCUGUGUCAGUGUCCGUGACCUAGUCAGUGACGUCAUCGCUGAAAGCGGUGGGCGCAAACCCCGCGUCGUGCUUGAUGAUCCACAUGCACCUUGGGCUCCAAUGUAUCUAUACACUAAAAGAGAGAAGAAACUUCAAAACCAACCACUCUGAUAAUACAACAUCAUUGAUUAACCGACCUAUUUAAUUAUAACACGAGCUUCCAAUGAAAUAACCAAAUCAGUUGCUCAUGGGCAGCCCUACCAUAGGCUCGGGGAGUUGGCACUGUAUGAUCCAAAGAGAGCUAAAAGGCUUUUUUUUUUUUAAUUUUUUCUUACCCUUCUAUUACAUCAAAAACAUUUGUGAGAUAUCUGUUAUUCCUUUUUUUUUUUUUGAAUUCUCAGCACGAAUUGGUCGAAUUUGAACUCUCUUCGGAUGCGCGUCGCGGGGUUCGCGCCCGCCGCGUUCAGCAAUUACGUUGCCGAUGACGUGCGCUCGCUCUACCCUGCUACUGCCCCUCCUACCCUCUUCUCUGGAGGUGGAGGAGGAUGAGGAUGAGGAUGAGGAUGAGGAGGAAGAAGAAGAAGAAAAAGAGAAAUGGUGGAAAUUUCACCUAAAGAGUACUAUUUUGUCCUAAAUAGUGUAAAUCUGAUCCCAAAAAGUAAAAUUUUUUUCUCAAAAAGUGCAACUUUUAUUUAAAACGGUGCAAAAUUUUUUUUAAAUAGUAUAAUUUUAUUUUAACAGUGCAAUUUCAUCUUCUUCUUCCAUCUUAUAUAAUUUUUUAACUAUAUAUUUUUUCUUCUUUCUUUUUCUACAAAUUUUUUUUUGUCACGCCUCUCCACCAACAGCUUCGGCGCCGGCGGUGACGGCGCUAUGGACCCCCCCUCUUCGAGGCUGCGGCGCCGCAGCGACCUCCGCGGUGUUGGCGUCGGCGGAGAGGCGUCGUCUUCGGAGGCGGCAGAGGAGGCGGACGAGGAAGGAGAGGGAGAGGGCGGGAAGGGCGGGGAAGGGCGAGAGAAACGUCGUCGUCGAAGACAGUGGAGGGUCGGAGAAGGAAAACAAAAAAAUAGUUGUGAUGCGGCCUCGACGGUGUCGGAGGCGAGGAAGUGUAGGGGCAAGGGCAAAGGCGAUGGCGAGGGCAUAAGAAUGAGAGGCAAGGUGGGCCGUUUCCGCCUUCUUCUCUGCCUCCGUUGCCUUCUUCGUAGAGAGAAAAAAAAUGAACGAGAGAAAAAAAAAUAGGAGAGAGAAAAAAAAAGGUAUUUUGGUCAGUUUGCUGAAAAUUCAGACUAAAUUUGCAAAAUAAAAAAAGACGGUUCAGUUUGAUAAAAGCUCAAAACUUAUAAAUUUUUUUUAUACAAAUUUGCCUAUAUAUAGAGAGAGAACUAGGCUAGAAUAUUAUUAAUAGCACCAAGUCAUUAGUGCUAUUAAGUUUUCGGCCUUUGGAUGAAGCGAUGUACGAUUAUGAUGAUAGUAAAGAUGUCCGUGGACUGGGUCUGGGUACUUAAGUUACUAUUAUAUCCAUUGGAUUUAUUUGAGCGAGUCUGGAUAGUGACUAUCCGUAUACUACUUAUUCAAGAUCGGAUACACGUCAGGUCCAAAUUGGGAUCAGAUACGCGUCAAGUCUAAAUUGGGUACAGAUACCUGUAUACAAAUAUUAUUUUAUGAAUUUUAUUAAAUUGUAUGGGCAAAAUUUAUUUUGGCCAUUAUAUUGUAGUAUCCUUGUUUUAUUUAUUAAUUAAUUAACUUAUUUAUGUUUUAUGUCGGUUGGUGCUAAUUGGGGUGGCUUGGAUGCCACGUCCACCCGUGCAUGCAAAUUAGGGUGGCUUGGAUGCCACGUGCACCCUUUGCAUGCUUAUCAACAAAUUAGGUGGGCAUUGCCUAAUCUUUCUACUUCUCUCUUUGUUCAACCGAAGCAAAGAGCUCGGAGGAGGUAGCCGCGAGGACGAGUUCGACGCCGACGACGCGCCGCGAAGCCGUUCGAGGGUACGGUUGGGAUUGUAGCGUUGCGAGGAAACUAGGCGAGGAUGCGUUUUCGCCGUUCUCGACGCCGCGUCGAUGUCCGAUUAGCCUUUGAGGUGAGUGUUCCGUUGCACUGCUUCAAGUAUUAUCAUUUCGAGCUUGGUGCUGAUUUGCAGAAUUUCCAGCGUCGACCGUCGGUAUUUCAGUUCGUACUCGGCGUAGGAGCGUCGGUUUUCGACGGGACUUGGUUUGUUGGAUUCGGGACUUCGAGAGGAAUCCACGAAGCCCUUACUUGCUGGAUUUGGUAAAGGUUUGCUAGGUCGGAAUUUCGCUCUUCUCUGUUGCUGUUUUUGAGGCAGAAAUAAUGCUUAUUGUCGGAUUCUCCGUGUAGAGUUUGGCGGGAGCUUGACUUCGGGCCUUGGGAGGUUUUCGGACGUUUCGGCAGGUUGUUCCGCAGCCGAGGGGAGUUCCGUGCUGCCAGGGAUUAGCGAGCGAGGUGGGUUACAUCGGUUUAUUCCUAAGUAUAGCAUUAGUCGACAUGUAUGAUUUGUAGUUGUAUAAAUCAUGUGUAGCUCUAUCUCAUUGAUUAUAUCUUGGAUAAAUACGAUUUGAGAACAUGAUUAAUAAAUAUGAAUAUACAUGUUGGACUUGGAUUUGACUUAGGAGAAAACGCGAUAACGAUCGGCAUAUGUUAACUACCUGAUUUAGCCCUAGGGACCGUGGUAUGAUUUUAUACGGUUUCAGUAUCAUCAUAGUGAGUAUUCCAGGUAGUUUAGAUUUCAGUUACACUCGUGCUGGGAUGCCGAGUGUAUUUUUACAGUAGCGUUCAGGCUGUUCCGGACUGUUGGGUGCCGUCGGGGUUGACGGUGGACCCGGUUCGCCGUUUUGGCGUCAGAUUGUGCCGAGGGCACGUUACUAGUUGGUUGUUAGACCAGUGUGAGUCGGUUACUUGACUUUGGCUUGUUAGAGCCUGUUUGAGCUCGACAGAGACACGCUGCAUACUCGGUUGGGUAGCUCCCACGAGUGCCACUCCGGAGGCGGGCUUAGUGCUUUUGCGUUGGUGUCGCUCAUGCCGGUUGGACUUGCUCUCCACGGACCAGUAGUGUGGAGGUAGCUGAUUGUCACAACUGGGCAGGGACGGGUGUGUUCACAGUCCCAGGGACGGGUAUGCUUACAGUCCCGAUUGGAUUGGGUCAGAUUUGACAUUUCCUACAGUUGGUUAGUGUAGAGCAUGAUAGUGUAGUGAUUCAUAGCGGUAGAUUUCAUUCCUGCAUUUACUACUAUCCUGGCUCCCUUCUGUAGACUUAGUGGGUGGACCGAUGUUGUUUAGGGCGGCACCCACUGAGGACUACCUGUUUUUACAGUAGUUCUCACGCCCUGUUGUUACCCCUGUUUUGCAGAGCCCCAGGUUUCGGCUGCUGCACUCUCCGAGACGGAUCGAGGCAAGGGCGUCGCGAGUUAGAGCCCUACCCGACGAGCAGAGCUAGAGGCACCCCUACUGCAGGUAGACGUUUUGGUUUUCGGGUUCAUGUACAUAGUAUACUUAACUCGCCAGUGCGAGUAGCUCUGUAUUUUGGAUUUUGGACUAUGUAUGUGAAACUCAGUUUGUUUAGCUUCUGUUUACUUUAGCAGCUCUAUACUACUGUUUGUAGUAUUGUAUGAUUUACAGGUACAACUGUCGCUUCGUAUACAGGAAAAAUUCCUUUGUAUACGGCGAAUUUGUCGGCGUGCCCGGGGAACGAAACAUCCGGGGCGUGACAUAUAUUGACUGAUUAAAAAAUAUAAAAUUCAAAAUAACUUUAUAUAUAAACACACAAAAAUAAGAAAAUUAUGAUAGCAUAUCAUAGAUAAAGAGAAUAUAAGUUGUAGUAAUUACUAAUAUUAUAUACUAACAUUCAGAAAAAAGAAAAAAAACAAAAAAGAAUCGAAAAACUCACUAAAUAAAAUAUUUAUUAAAAAAAACUAGGUUGUCGACUAUAAUUGGAGAAGGGAUUUGGAAAAAAAUCAUCCGUGCCAUGCCUAUAGAGAAAUAAUAUCGCUGACAAUGAUCACGAUGGAAAUAUUGUUUCCUAUAAAACAAGCUGAAAAAAAAUUUUCAGACUAAUUUUUUUUUUUUUUUUUUUUUUUUUCAGACGUUUAGUUUGGUGUAAAGAAAAAAUUACUUUACAGAUGCAAAGGAAAACUCAGCUUUUCAUUUUUCGUCUCAUCUCCGCGGAAAACGAAAACUUGGAGAAGAAAUCGCUGAUCACAUCGCGGUACACGAGCUUAGGGUGAAAGCUCGUGGAGUCGUAGACCGCGUGAGUGGUCCAUGCUGGACCACACACCCAUAUCUCUCUCUCUCUCUCUCUCUCUCUCCACACAAGAGAGAGAGAGAGAGAGAGAGAGAGAGAGAGACGGGAUAAAAAAUUAUUAUAUAUAUUUUAUAUUUUUAUAAUAUAAUAAUAUAUAUUGUAUUAUAUACAUACUAUGAUAUAGAGUCCGACUACUAUAUUAUUAUGAGUACGAUUGCCCUCGUACUCAUAAGGCCUCGUACACAUAAGUUGUUUUUGAUGAUAGAGCUUCCGAAUCGACGAUCCAUACCGUUUAACAUUAUCUAGAUCAUUUAAAACUUCUAGAAAUUAAAUUUCAUAAUUUUUCGACAUCAUUUACCUUACGAUCAAAAGCUCACAAAAUUGACAAUUUUUAACGGCUGGUAUGGGAUACUUGCUAGUUUAACGGUGUAAAAGAAUUGGAAUAGGUUGAAUUUUUAAUAGAAAAAUCUAUUCACUAUCUAGAUAAAGAUCAAUAACUCCGAUCUUAAAUUGAAGGAUCUGAUCAUCCAUUUUUAGGACGUCGUUUGAUUUUGACCGUUCAUGUUAUACUCGUUUGAUGGACUUUAUUAUGAUUUCAAAAAAUGAUGAAAUUUAUUUUUUAGAAGUUUCAAAUAUUCUAGAUCAUAUUUAAUGGAGUGAAUCGUCGAUUCGGAAGCCCCAUCAUCGAAAACAACUUAUGAGUACGAAGGGCCCAAUACGCAUAAGAGUAUAAUAGCCCUACUCCUAUGAUAUAUAUUAUAUUAUAUAGAGUCCGGCUACUAUACUAUUAUGGGUACGAUCGUCCUCAUACUCAUAAGUUAUUUUCGAUGAUAGAGCUUCCGAAUUGACGAUCUACACCGUUAAACGUUAUCUAGAGCAUUUGAAACAUUUAGAAAUCAAAUUUCAUAAUUUUUCGACAUCAUUACCUUACAAUCAAAAGCUUACAAAGUUGACAAUUUUUAACGGCCGGUAUGGAAUACUUGCUAGUUUAACGAUGCAAAAGAAUCCGAAUAAGUUGAAUUUUUGAUAGAAAAUUUUAUUCACUACAUAGAUGAAGAUCAAUAACUCCGAUCUUAAAUUGAAGGAUCCGAUCAUCCAUUUUUAAGACAUAGUUCGAUUUUUACCGUUCAUUUUAUAUUCGCUUGAUGGACUUUAUUAUAAUUUCGAAAAAUUACGAAAUUUAUGUUUAGAAGUUUCAAAUACUCUAGAUCAAAUUUAACGGAGUGGAUCGUCGAUUCGGAAGCUCCAUCAUCGAAAACAACUUAUGAGUACGAAGAACCUAAUUUUCAUAAUAGUAUAGUAGCCCUACUCAUAUUAUAUACUUAUAUCUAUUUAUUAUAUAAUAUAAUUUUAAUAUAUUUAAUUUACAAAUAAUAAUAAUAAUAAUAUAUUGUGAUAAUUGUUAUACAUCAAUAAUAUAUAGUAUAUAAAAUAGGAGAAAAUAUGUAAUAAUUUUUUUAUUUAUCUUUUCCUUAUUUUUCCUUUCAACCAAACAACCGUGAUGGAAAACUAUUUUUUCUUUCCUACAAACCAAACACUAAAGAACAUAAAAUUUUCUUUCCUACAAACCAAACACUAAAGAACAUAAAAUUUGUUUUCCGAAAAAAAAAAUUUUUCUACGAAAUUUUUUUUUUCACAAUUUUAU